UUCGUAACCUUUGCCGUUUAGUAUGGAACAUCACCUUUCUCAGGCUCUCGCUGACGUGUUCCUGUUAGCCUGUUCAUGACUGGGCACUGGGGGUCUGGCACCCUUCAAUCUCAUGGAUGGAUAGUGUGCUGCUGUUUGGAGAUCGGUUCUUGCCGUUUGGAGCUGGGUUCAGCCUCCUCAUUUUAGAGAUAAAUUAAAGGGCAUUUGGUUGUCUGGCAGGGGUUGGAGCAAAUGCCAGCCUAAAUAUGGUUAACUGUUGCAUAGAAAGUGACUCUUGGGCUACACUCUUGCCAGCAGGACCAUCAUUCACUAAAAGUGCUCAGAGCUUGUCCAAGGACAGUAGGGAGUGGUUAGAUCACCCCUGGAUUUCUUACCCCAAAUUUUUUGGGCAUAUAAUUUUUUUUGAACCCUGCCACAAUGUCAGAAUUGGAAACUGUGACGCAACGCCCCAGGAAGACUGUGCUCCAGCCUUGAGGGCUACUUCUCCUGGGCUCCUUGCCUGCCCCCUGUAUCGGGUUGUGACGUGUGAUCUUUGCUCUGGGGACUCCUCGCCUGAUACUGCAUGCUUGUGAGCAGAGAGUUCUGCCCAUUCGUGCUACUCCCAUGCUCAGCACUCGCAGACUCUCUUGCCUGUGAGUGCCUGUGCAAGUCAUGUUUAUACAAACGCCGGGCUGUGCAGCGGCCAUGAGCAUCCUUGUGCGGGGAUGAGGUGGUGCCCCGUGUGUCGUCACUGUCUGCAUUCGAGGUCACUUUGUCCACCCAGAGUGCCUCCAGCUUUCCUUCCUUGCUCACUUGCUUUCCAGACCAGCUCUCUGAAGUUCAUUUUUAAUUUUACCCUACCUGUCCACAAAGCUCCUAUAAAAGUCAAAUCUGGCAAAGGACCAUGGCCUUAAACCUCUCUAAAAUGUCCACAGAGGAAUUCUUAAGAAAGAAUGGUUCCGUAGCUUCUGGGGAUGGGGGAUGGGAUCUGGGAAAUGAGUGUCCAAGAUGAAUCGUGUAGAAGGCUUCUCACAACCAGGCCUCCCUCCUGUCCUAAGGGACAACACUGUCCCUCAGUACCAGAAGAAAUGAAAAAAAAAAUGACGGCUAUUAGUGCAAAUAGAAAUGAGGGCAGCAGGCUUCCUGUUUGUUUCCGGGUGUCCCUAGCAGGAUUUGGGGUGAGGAGAGCGCUGUGGUGACCUGCAGUCUACCUACUUCUGGCUUGCUGGACUGUUCGCUUCAGUCUCCCUGGUCAGCUGUGGGACAGGUGCACCUCAGGGCUUCCCAGGGAGCCCCACACUGCUCUGACGGAUAGCUAAUGCAUGAUAAGCUAUCUAUCCAACCCCCUGCCUUCUUUAUUUUUUCUUCUCCAACCUCUACCUUUAGGGACACAAACUCUUUGGGGUAGAAAGCUGAGAGGGGAGAGGCUAAGUGUUUUAGAUGGGGUUUUUCCGUGCCUUGGGGUGGGACCUCCGCUAAACCCUCAGGAAUGCCGAGUGUAGCCAGGUGGCUCGUGCUUGGCGUUCUCAGCAUUUCUUUGGGGCUCCAGCCUCCUUCAGUGCAGUGUUGGCUAAUAAAUACCUUCAGCAUUGAACUGAAAACUGUCCUUUGGAGCCAUUUUUUUAGACUCAAAGGUUGUAAAGUUUUAUUGCAAUCUCCUUUGAAGUUCCUUGCCACUAUUGGUAGUCCUAAAAUUCUGUAACCAGAUUCUUUUAGAUACAAGCUCACACUUCCUUAGAGAUGAUCUCCCUUGGUGGUCAGCUGACCUGGCUGAGGGCUCCCUGGGGGAGGUUACAUAUGCAGAUGACUAUUGAAAGUGUAACCUUUUGUGACGUGUUACAUAAUAACUGGCUAGUUUGCUUCACUAGUCAGUCACUUCAGUCAGUAUUUUGAUGCUUGCUUUUGGUUGCUUCUGUCUGAUGUCAGUAGUUUUGGUUUCCUUCAAAAUAAUUGACAUUUAAUAGUUUUAUUUUGAAAUGAUGCAUAGACACCCCCACCCCCAGCUUAGAAACCAGCUUUUAUUUAGGGUUCUUGGGUCAGCCCACAGAAGCCCUCAGACCUCAGCCAUCAUGGCUGGAAUGCAGUGCUAUGCCAGAUGUGGUUGGCUUUUGUGGGCUGGCCUGGACAUGGGCUAGCACCCACUACGUUGUAAAUGGUAAAAUAAAUAAAUAAGAAAAUAUAAAGCAUUCCAGGUUGGGACUCGGCACCCAGCCUGUGGCAGCUGCUCUGUCCUCGGCAGAGAUGGCUGUCAAAUCUCUCUCUCCUAGCAAACUGCACCUAAGGGCAGGGGAAGGACAGAGGAGACAGAGGACAUUCCUUCCUAAGUUACCGAUGAUCAUGUUGACUGCUUUGGCAGAGACUCUCUGUCACGUGAAUAACAUUAAAUGCCCUAAAUAAAGCUAUGCACACUGC
rnacentral:lncRNA from 1 species